GACGAACGCUGGCGGCGUGCUUAACACAUGCAAGUCGAGCGGAAAGGCCCUUCGGGGUACUCGAGCGGCGAACGGGUGAGUAACACGUGAGAAACCUGCCCUGGACUUUGGGAUAACCCUCGGAAACGGGGGCUAAUACCGGAUAUGACAUUCGACCGCAUGGUUGUUUGUGGAAAGUUUUUCGGUCUGGGAUGGUCUCGCGGCCUAUCAGCUUGUUGGUGGGGUAAUGGCCUACCAAGGCGACGACGGGGUAGCCGGCCUGAGAGGGCGACCGGCCACACUGGGACUGAGACACGGCCCAGACUCCUACGGGAGGCAGCAGUGGGGAAUAUUGCACAAUGGGCGGAAGCCUGAUGCAGCGACGCCGCGUGAGGGAUGACGGCCU
rnacentral:rRNA from 1 species